rnacentral:rRNA from 1 species
AAAGGCGCUUUCGGGUGUCGCUGAUGGAUGGACCCGCGGUGCAUUAGCUAGUUGGUGAGGUAACGGCUCACCAAGGCCACGAUGCAUAGCCGACCUGAGAGGGUGAUCGGCCACAUUGGGACUGAGACACGGCCCAAACUCCUACGGGAGGCAGCAGUAGGGAAUCUUCGGCAAUGGACGAAAGUCUGACCGAGCAACGCCGCGUGAGUGAAGAAGGUUUUCGGAUCGUAAAACUCUGUUGUUAGAGAAGAACAAGGAUGAGAGUAACUGUUCAUCCCUUGACGGUAUCUAACCAGAAAGCCACGGCUAACUACGUGCCAGCAGCCGCGGUAAUACGUAGGUGGCAAGCGUUGUCCGGAUUUAUUGGGCGUAAAGCGAGCGCAGGCGGUUUCUUAAGUCUGAUGUGAAAGCCCCCGGCUCAACCGGGGAGGGUCAUUGGAAACUGGGAGACUUGAGUGCAGAAGAGGAGAGUGGAAUUCCAUGUGUAGCGGUGAAAUGCGUAGAUAUAUGGAGGAACACCAGUGGCGAAGGCGGCUCUCUGGUCUGUAACUGACGCUGAGGCUCGAAAGCGUGGGGAGCAAACAGGAUUAGAUACCCUGGUAGUCCACGCCGUAAACGAUGAGUGCUAAGUGUUGGAGGGUUUCCGCCCUUCAGUGCUGCAGCUAACGCAUUAAGCACUCCGCCUGGGGAGUACGACCGCAAGGUUGAAACUCAAAGGAAUUGACGGGGGCCCGCACAAGCGGUGGAGCAUGUGGUUUAAUUCGAAGCAACGCGAAGAACCUUACCAGGUCUUGACAUCCUUUGACCACUCUAGAGAUAGAGCUUCCCCUUCGGGGGCAAAGUGACAGGUGGUGCAUGGUUGUCGUCAGCUCGUGUCGUGAGAUGUUGGGUUAAGUCCCGCAACGAGCGCAACCCUUAUUGUUAGUUGCCAUCAUUCAGUUGGGCACUCUAGCAAGACUGCCGGUGACAAACCGGAGGAAGGUGGGGAUGACGUCAAAUCAUCAUGCCCCUUAUGACCUGGGCUACACACGUGCUACAAUGGGAAGUACAACGAGUUGCGAAGUCGCGAGGCUAAGCUAAUCUCUU